rnacentral:lncRNA from 1 species
GUUCUUUCUUCGACUUUCCUCACACUGAUGCCAAGAGUCCCUGAGGGCGCAGCUGUUGCCACAGUCACAUCUUCUGACAGAAGGAACCAUGACCAAGGCAGCAGACACCAAGCACCAUCAUUCUAUGAUCCAGAGGCUGUUAAUUCUAUUGAGCUGUGGAUACACCAAGCUGCUGGCUCAGUCUCCUACUCUCUGCUGUAGUUUUGACGUUAACAACACAUUCAAUGACAAUGUCACAUCUGGACUGUGGAACUAUGAAGUCCAAGGUGAAGUGAAAACAGUACCUUUUAUUCUCAACAGAAAUAACAAAUGUCAUGUCACUAGUGAUUUUGAGAACAGACUCAAUGCCACAGAGAUCUGUGAAAAACAGCUUCACAGUCUACAAGGUCAAGUUUAUCACUUCCAAGAUGUGCUACUUCAAAUGCGGGGGGAGAAUAACACAAUCAGAGAGCCCCUCACUCUGCAGUCCAUUGUGUGUGGCUGGUAUGCAGAUGAACGAUUCAUGGGAUCAUGGAAGGUAUGCCUCAAUGGAAGCAAAAUAUUUCAUGGUGACAUCAAGAGAUGGCUUCACAUCUAUUCUGGAACCAACUGGACAGAAGAGAUAUUGGAGAAAAUCAAAAAUCUAAAUGACUUCUUAAACAGGACAUCACAGGGUGAAUUCAAGAACAAGUUUAAGGAGUAUAAUUUGCACUGUAAGGAAAACCAGGAGCCUACAGCCUUGUCAACCACUGCAGAUGUGGGCCGACCUUCAUCCAGAGCAUGCACAUCCAACCCCUCUGUCCUGCUGAUAAUGCUCAGCUGCUUCCUUCUGUAUGUUUUCUGAGGGGAAUCCUUGACAAUGACAGGGUGAAGAUGCUCCAGAGAAAGUCAUGAGAAUUCAUCUGGUGCAGCCACUGCCCCUUUCAUCAUCCUCAACACAUGACUCAUCAUGCUGAUGACAAAGUGUUUCAAGGUCUUUCCACUCCGUGCUAGGCACUGUGGCCCUUGCUAACCACAGGCUACUUUAUCUCUGGGUGAUUUGCCCAUAAUAUGGAAUUACAUGAUCUAGAUAUUUGGAUAAAAAAAUAGUGAUGUAUCCAUACCAAGCACAAGAAAUAGAAUAUUCAGAUCUUCCUAAUGGGAGUGUGAUGGUUCUUCUCCUGUAUAUAUCAUCAUCAGUGUCUAUGUGAGAGUGAGACAGACUAGGAAGAGCCUGUACAAGGCAACAUUCUGUACACUACAAUUGAAAAAAUAGAUAUAUGUGCUAUUGAAUAUGACUAUAUAUGAUAGAAACAAACUACUUUAUAACAUAAAGUGACAGUUUAUAAUAUUAUUACUUUUAUAGGUGAGUUUUUGUGAUAUACACUAAGUAGUCCAGCUAUGGCCACAUGUACACUGGAGCAGCAGAGAACUUGGAACCCACUCUGUCCGAUAGACUGGAUGCUCCUGCAGUGGCAAUCUGGUAGUGAAAUCUGGAAGGUCCUGGGCAGCUGUCACUACUGAUUCCACACCCUUUGGCAGGUUCUGGGUCAGUGCUGCUCUCCACUGUGCUGAGAGAAGCUCCUCUGUGCACAUCUAGAAGCUGUGAUGCAGGGGAGUGAACUCAUGAUUGUUGCCUCUGACCUCUACAUGGGCACUUUUGCACAAGUGCACUAGCACUCACACAUUCUAAAAUUGUGGUGAUUAUAGAGUGUGUAGUUCACUGUUGAAACACUUUCUGUUUUGAAGCAGGGUCUCACUCUGUAGACCAGGCUGUCCUGGAACUCACAGAAACAUACCUACCUUUGCCUUGCCAGCAUUGGGUUUAAUGAUGUCUGCCACCAUGCCUGACUGGUCAUUUGAAUAUAAGCUCUAAAAGUGUGCUACUACAGAAUUAGAGCUUUAAAAUGUCACCAAUGUCACCCAGAUUAAUUUGUAAAUUUUAGCAGCAUUGUUUAGACAAGCACUACUGAUGUAUCUGAGGCAUCACUAAAGGAAACCUGCAACAAGUAAGCCUAGGAACCAGAAAAUGAGGAGUGUGUGUUUAGUAGGGGUCAGAGGUGACUACAUCAGGUCCCCAGACCUUAGCACAACUGACUCCAUGAUGGAAGUGUUAUUCAGGCUGUAAAACUCAGCACACAGACAUCACCUACAGCCAAAAUGAAACAAAGACCUAAUCCACCAAAGUCCAUAGUUCUGAGAAAGUCUCUAAUUGUAACAACUUUGCUUUUUGGCUUCUGUAGCUCUGCUUCUGGAUAAACCAUAAAGUGGUUUUGUGUUUAAAAGCUCACCCUGGGGAUGGCUCAUUCUACAUUGGAAUUCCAAACAUUUAGAAUAAUCAGGGCCAGCUAAUGAAGAGUUUCUAUUGGCUUAAACACCUUUGGUGGGGAGUUAAGUAGUGGAGCAAGCACAGAGAAGAAACUGCAGUCAGGACAUAAAGUAAAGUAAUUAAUCUAAAAAAUAGUCUGAGCAGUCUUCUCUGCUGAAUUCCCCUAGAACAGUAACGUCUAUCCUCCAAUUUCCUUACUAGGAGGUCUUUAGUACAGAUUCCUGAUAUGUAAUUAAUCACUAAAUGUCUUUAAUGGGAUCUCUUUCUAUUGAGAUAUUUGUAAACUUUCUUCAUGUGAUUGGUUUACAGAUAUUCAGGUUUCUGCAAAUGGGUGCUGUCUAUAUUAUAGAAUUUUUAGUUGAAAUUUUCAAAAUACUCUUUGAGUAUUCUCUUGUAAUUAUAUUACUUUACAAGGUUUGUGGGGCAUCUCUUUCAUUUGUGAUUACAUGGUUGCAGUAUUCUUUUUGUUCUUAGUCAGACUGUAUAAUUGUCUGUGAAGUCCAGUAAACUUUUG